CGGGAUGUAGCGCAGCCCGGUAGCGCACCUGCUUUGGGAGCAGGGGGCCCCAAGUUCGAAUCUUGGUAUCCCGA
rnacentral:tRNA from 1 species